GGCGGCGUGCCUAAUACAUGCAAGUCGAGCGAACGGACGAGUAGCUUGCUUCUCUGAUGUUAGCGGCGGACGGGUGAGUAACACGUGGAUAACCUAUCUAUAAGACUGGGAUAACUUCGGGAAACCGGAGCUAAUACCGGAUAAUAUUUUGAACCGCAUGGUUCAAAAGUGAAAGACGGUCUUGCUGUCACUUAUAGAUGGAUCCGCGCUGCAUUAGCUAGUUGGUAAGGUAACGGCUUACCAAGGCAACGAUGCAUAGCCGACCUGAGAGGGUGAUCGGCCACACUGGAACUGAGACACGGUCCAGACUCCUACGGGAGGCAGCAGUAGGGAAUCUUCCGCAAUGGGCGAAAGCCUGACGGAGCGACGCCGCGUGAGUGAUGAAGGUCUUCGGAUCGUAAAACUCUGUUAUUAGGGAAGAACAUAUGUGUAAGUAACUGUGCACAUCUUGACGGUACCUAAUCAGAAAGCCACGGCUAACUACGUGCCAGCAGCCGCGGUAAUACGUAGGUGGCAAGCGUUAUCCGGAAUUAUUGGGCGUAAAGCGCGCGUAGGCGGUUUUUUAAGUCUGAUGUGAAAGCCCACGGCUCAACCGUGGAGGGUCAUUGGAAACUGGAAAACUUGAGUGCAGAAGAGGAAAGUGGAAUUCCAUGUGUAGCGGUGAAAUGCGCAGAGAUAUGGAGGAACACCAGUGGCGAAGGCGACUUUCUGGUCUGUAACUGACGCUGAUGUGCGAAAGC
rnacentral:rRNA from 1 species